rnacentral:pre_miRNA from 1 species
GUGGUAUUGUUUCGCGCGCGCCCGACGUGCAAAACCUGAACAAAUUAACGGGUUGUUUUGUUCGUUCGGCUCGCGUCAAAUUAUUACCGCAGUUC